rnacentral:rRNA from 1 species
GUUUGAUUAUAGCUCAGAUUGAACGCUGGCAGGAUGCUUUACAUGCAAGUCGAACGGCAGCACGGACUUCGGUCUGGUGGCGAGUGGCGAACAGGUACGGUAAUGUAUCGGAACGUGCCUGGCGGGGAUAAUACACGAAAAGCGUAUUAAUACCGCAUACGCCCUUCGGGGGAAAGCGGGGGACUUCGGGCCUCGCACUAUUAGAGCGGCCGAUAUCGGAUUAGCUAGUUGGUGGGGUAACGGCUCACCAAGGCGACGAUCCCGUAGCUGGUUUGAGAGGACGAAACCAGCCACACUGGGACUGAGACGGCCGGAAGACUCCUACCGGGAGGCAGCAGUGGGAAUUUUGGACAAUGAAACCCACAGUCAGCCAUCCACGUGUGCGAUGAAGGCCUUCAGGUUGUAAAGCACUUUUGGCAGGGAAGAAACGGCUGGAUAUUACCCCGAUGCAACUGACGAACACCUGCAGAAUAAGCACCGGCUAACUACGUGCACCAGCAGCCGCGGUAAUACGUAGAGUGCAAGCGUUAAUCGGAAUUACUGGGCGUAAAGCGUGCGCAGGCGGUUCGGAAAGAAGAUGCUGAAAUCCAGAACUUAACUUUGGAGCUUCAUUUUUAACUACCGAGCUAGAGAGUGUGUCAGAGGUGGGAAUUCCGCGUGUAGCAGUGAAAUGCGUAGAUAUGCGGAGGAACACCGAUGGCGAAGGCAGCCUCCUGGGAUAACACUGACGCUCGUGCACGAAAGCGUGGGGAGCAAACGGGAUUAGAUACACAGUGAUCACGCCCUAAACGAUGUCAGAAAACUAAUAUUUGGGGCCUUCAGGCCUUGGUAUUGGCGCAGCUAACGCGUGAAGUUGACCGCCUGAGUACGGUCGCAAAGAUUAAAACUCAAAGGAAUUGACGGGGACCCGCACAAGCGGUGGAUGAUGUCAGUUAAUUCGAUGCAACGCGAAAAGCCACCUACCCUUGACAUGUCUGGAAUCCCGAAGAGAUUUGAGGUGCUCGCAAGAGAACCGGAACACAGGUGCUGCAUGGCUGUCGUCAGCUCGUGUCGUGAGAUGUUGGGUUAAGUCCGCGCAACCCGACGCAGCCCUUGUCGUGGAUUGCUACGAAAGGGCACUCUAAUGGGAACUGCCGGUGACAAACCGGAGGAAGGUGGGGAUGACGUCAGGAAUCCUCAUGGCCCUUAUGGGUAAGGGCUUCACACGUCAUACAAUGGUCGGGACAGAGGGUCGCCAACCCGCGAAGAUUGUCCCAGAAACCCGAUCGUAGUCCGGAUCGCAGUCUGCAACUCGACUUCACAUUGAAGUCCGGAAUCGCUAGUAAUCGCGGAUCAGCAUGUCGCGGUGAAUACGUUCCCGGGUCUUGUACACACCGCCCGUCACACCAUGGGAGUGGGUUUACCAAGUAGUUAGCCUAACCGUAAGGAGGGCGAUUACCACGGUAGGAUUCAUGACUGAGACUGAAGUCAUCAAAGCGAGUAG